rnacentral:misc_RNA from 1 species
GCGAGUAUGGCCCUCACGGGUCUAAUCCACCAUAAACACCUUUGUGAACCAGUCAGGGGGACUCGGCCGUGAAAGCCCAGGCGAUUAGCGGAAGGGCCCUCCUUUGCAAAACCCGUUUAGAAGUCUUGAAAGUACUUUUGUAUAAUCUAGUAA